CCGAGUUUACAACUCCCAAACCCCUGUGAACAUACCUAUACGUUGCCCUCGGCGGAUCAGCCCGCGCCCCGUUAAAAAGGGACGGCCCGCCCGAGGACCCCUAAACUCCGUUUUAGUGGAACUUCUGAGUAAGACAAACAAAUAAAUUCA
rnacentral:misc_RNA from 1 species